AACCAAAACGACUCUCGGCAACGGAUAUCUAGGCUCUCGCAUCGAUGAAGAACGUAGCGAAAUGCGAUACUUGGUGUGAAUUGCAGAAUCCCGUGAACCAUCGAGUUUUUGAACGCAAGUUGCGCCCGAAGCCAGAUGGCUGAGGGCACGUCUGCCUGGGCGUCACGC
rnacentral:rRNA from 1 species